ACACAGGCCACAGGACAACAAGCCACAGAACAGAACAAUCAACAAGUACUGGCACAAGAACAUGGACAACAGGUGGAACUAAUAACAAUUAAACACAGAAACUAGGGCGUUUUACAAAUACCAAAAAUUAGAAAACAGGGAAUAAAGCACUAUGAACAGAAUGCAAGGAUAAUUAAACAGAACCAGAAAGGAACAGAACAGAACACAAGCAGGGAAAAUCUAGGACAGGAAAACUGAUAUAGAAAACAAACACUAGGAAAAACUAUAAUAAACAGAACAAGUAAGGCUGGCCUCAAACCCAAGACUGCAGGGCUACAGCUUUUGUGCUACACACUCAACCCCCAAAGUGGACUUCAUCAAAAAUCAGCCCACCAUCAUCAGCAAACUCCUUCCUUUGGGAAACUAUGAGAGAGCAGCCACCAUGCAGCUCAACAGGGCUGACAGUGUGAAAAGGAGCUCGUUCUUCACCUCCAACUCUUAUCAAUUAGGCCAAGAGAAAAUGUCACCCUGGCAAUGCCUGGACCGCCUGGAGCAGACGACCUAAAGUGAUUUGUAGCAGCUACUGUCAAGGACACUUCAGAUGUGCAUAUCACCAGAAAAUGACAGGACAAAGAACUGUUUUUGUCAUGUCUGUUGUGUAUCUGAGGGAGAAUCUCUAAUUGAUCUAUUUCUAGUGUUUAUAGCAACAAGCCAAUCUUGCUCAUGAUCAGCCAAUAUUAUUAUCAAGCAGGUGUUAGCUCAGUGGUUUCUCUAGUUGAAAUUAAAUAGUUUCGGAUGUUUUAGGAAAAGCGACAGUGGACAGCGGAGAAGUAAAACCAAAAUCAUUUGAAAUGUUUUGGAAAGUGGCUGCUUUGAGUGACGUCAUUGUGCAGAAUUCAUGGUGACAGCAUUCAGACCAGAGCGAUCUGUCAUGACACCAAAGGAGGUGGAGAAACAGCUUUCAAACUAGGGGAGAGAAGACAGUAAAUGUGGCAGCUGGAGGAUUUAAGUACAGAGACUGCAGGUCAAAAUGUGAAUCAGAAUCAGAAUUAGAAUGUGUGUACAUUUUUAUAUGUGCAGAUUUUAUUAGUUUAUUACACAGAUUUUUUUAAUGUGUAUUAAAAAGAACAGAAAAUAGGAAUGCCCUAAUGUGUAUAAACUUUCUCAUUUCCGUGUUUGUGACCUGGGCUGCACAGACUUCCACAGCUGGCGGACCAGGAAAUCGGCACCACAUGUGAUAUUUGUUGACGUUGGUCCCACUUUCUAGCUUCCCUGUCCAGGAUCCUCUUUUUGGUUUUAUAGUCCUUUGUGCUUCAGCCAACCUGUCUGGGAACCAUCCAUCUGAUCAGCAGCUCCAAGUCCCGUUACCUAUUUCCUGUGCUGUGGUGUCCUCUGAUCUCAGGGACCAGUGGGCAGGUGACCUGGCAUUGUGGAUGGACGGCCCAGCUCAGGUGCUCCAUCUUGGAUUCUGUCUGUGAAAGCCAAGAAACAUGUUUUCAACCUAGUGCCCUGGGUCCGUGUUGAGCCAGGAUACUACAUUCUGAAUCAUGAAAAUAGUCAGAAAUGCAUGUUUGGGUUUCCGCAUAUUUUCUUGCAUAUUUCAGUUGCCUCAAUCAUCAAUCAGGUCUUAUCUUGCAAAUGUAGAGAUGUUGCUGUUUGCCCUCAGGCAGGUUAUUACUAUUAU